rnacentral:misc_RNA from 1 species
AAAUGGGUAUAAGAGACAGGUGAGUCAUCGAAUCUUUGAACGCACAUUGCGCCCCUUGGUAUUCCGAGGGGCAUGCCUGUUCGAGCGUCAUUACAACCCUCAAGCCUAGCUUGGUCUUGGGCUUCGCCACUUACCUGGCGGGCCUUAAAAUCAGUGGCGGUGCCGUCGAGGCCCUGAGCGCAGUAAACAUCCUCGCUAUAGGGACCCGGCGGUCGCUGGCCAUUAACCCCCAACUUUCUAAGUUUGACCUCGGAUCAGGUAGGGAUACCCGCUGAACUUAAGCAUAUCAAUAAGCGGAGG